GGCGGGAAGCUGGCUGAGUCUGAGGCUUUCUAGUGAACCCAGGGGGCAGCCAGAGGGCCCCAUGCUCUCGUCGCCGCCGCCGGAUGAGCUGGAGGACGAGAAGAGCCCCGAGGGCCAGGAGAAGCACCCCAGCCACUGGCGAGCACAGUACAGGCCAGGGGAGCUGGUUGGCAGGGGCUGCUGGUGGGAGAGACAGUAAAAAAGAAGCCAUUCCAGUAUGGUGAAAAUGGAUGAAAUACAGCUGUGUACACAGCCCCGAUGAACUGUGGCAUCACGACGCAAGUCCUGGAAGACUAAACAGUUAAUAGAGUAAUAGUAAUUGAACUAAUACUAUCUUAAUCCAUGGAGAUAGAAUUAUAUACUUCUUUGGGAAGGGAAUAGGAUAGAGGAGGACAUAAGUAAGUGUAAGUUAUCAUUAAUAUUGUAAUUUUCAGAUUGGAUUCAUGGGUGUUAUAUUGUAAGAAUAAUAAAAUAAAGCCAUGCACAAACCA